CAGGCCACUACUAGCUAAUCCGUAAACCCUACACCCUAACAUGAGAAAAAUCCACUGUUCAUAACUGAAAUUUUGUUUUCGUUUGCAGUAUUUACAUUUAUUUAUAUACACUAAAAUCCGAACUCGAGUAGUACUGUUCUACGGUAGUGUGCGGAUCAAAAUACCCCUCAAUUUGUUUGUUAAGCCACUUUUUAGCCAUCUCUUUUACAGUAACUUUCUCGCCCUACGAGACCACGCGUUUCUCCUCUCCGGUUUCGAUUUUUUGGGUGCUUCGGUGCUCCUUCCUUUUUUCUUUACUGUUGUCGCUAUUCUAACCCUAAUUUUUCUCCCCCUUUCUGAUCUCAUCUCUCUCCCCUCGUGCCGAUCAGUCAAACUGUAAAAAUUUUGUCUGUGUGCCUGAUCUCAUCUCUCUCCGCUCGCGCCGAUCUGUUGAACUGUAAAAAUUUCGUCCAUGUGCCGUCGUUGUCACUGCUUGCUAUAAAAAAUAAUUUGGUUUGCUGACGCGGGAUUGCCAGAUCUGUAACCUUUUUGUGAGUUUUGUAAUUUUCUUACUGGCUUCAGUUCCUUUUUUUUGGUUUGUUCUGUAUAUUUUGCAUCCUCUGCUUGCUUUUAUUGGUUUUCACUUUUUGUCUCAAAUUGCUCUUUCAUUGUUUUGGGUUUUGUGGUUUUGCAUUCCGUGGUGGGGAUCGUAACUUUCCAUGAAUCAAGGGGAAGAUCUUGAGAGAGAAAGUAGAAAGAGAGGAGGGGGGGGGGGAGAAAGAUGUCGAAUUGAGUGGGAAUACCAUGACGCUCAAAGAUUUCCAUGGCGGGUCGAUUCCCUCUGAUCUCCCUCUUCCUUCUGCUCCUGGGGUUUUUGGUUGAUUCAGUUCGCGUUAGGGUUUAUGAGGUGGAGAUCUCGCGGAAUGGCGCAGUAGGAUUUGACCAGUUGGUUCACUGGUAUGGUUUUUAGCUGAAUGGCGCUGUAGAAUUGUUAGAAUUUUGUGAUUUAAAAAAAAAGAAAAUUUUUUUUGGAGUUUUUGCUCUGUUUGGUUGCCCGGAAAAUCCAUGACAAUGGAGGGAGAAAAUUCAUGGAGUUGUGCAUUAUAUGAAUGUUUUUAUUUUUAUUUUGCCCAUUUAAAUUUAAAUUUAGUUGAAUUUACUUUA